rnacentral:rRNA from 1 species
UACAGGGGGCGCGAGCGUUGCUCGGAAUCACUGGGCGUAAAGCGUACGCAGGCGGAUCGUUAAGUCGGGUGUGAAAGCCCGGGGCUCAACCCCGGAAUUGCAUUCGAUACUGGCGGCCUUGAGUGCGGGAGAGGUGAGUGGAAUUCCUGGUGUAGAGGUGAAAUUCGUAGAUAUCAGGAGGAACACCGGUGGCGAAGGCGGGUCUCUGGGCCGAUACUGACGCUGAGGAGCGAAAGCGUGGGGAGCGAACAGG